GGGUAACCUGCCUGUAAGACUGGGAUAACUCCGGGAAACCGGAGCUAAUACCGGAUAGUUCCUUGAACCGCAUGGUUCAAGGAUGAAAGACGGUUUCGGCUGUCACUUACAGAUGGACCCGCGGCGCAUUAGCUAGUUGGUGGGGUAAUGGCUCACCAAGGCGACGAUGCGUAGCCGACCUGAGAGGGUGAUCGGCCACACUGGGACUGAGACACGGCCCAGACUCCUACGGGAGGCAGCAGUAGGGAAUCUUCCGCAAUGGACGAAAGUCUGACGGAGCAACGCCGCGUGAGUGAUGAAGGUUUUCGGAUCGUAAAGCUCUGUUGUUAGGGAAGAACAAGUGCGAGAGUAACUGCUCGCACCUUGACGGUACCUAACCAGAAAGCCACGGCUAACUACGUGCCAGCAGCCGCGGUAAUACGUAGGUGGCAAGCGUUGUCCGGAAUUAUUGGGCGUAAAGGGCUCGCAGGCGGUUUCUUAAGUCUGAUGUGAAAGCCCCCGGCUCAACCGGGGAGGGUCAUUGGAAACUGGGAAACUUGAGUGCAGAAGAGGAGAGUGGAAUUCCACGUGUAGCGGUGAAAUGCGUAGAGAUGUGGAGGAACACCAGUGGCGAAGGCGACUCUCUGGUCUGUAACUGACGCUGAGGAGCGAAAGCGUGGGGAGCGAACAGGAUUAGAUACCCUGGUAGUCCACGCCGUAAACGAUGAGUGCUAAGUGUUAGGGGGUUUCCGCCCCUUAGUGCUGCAGCUAACGCAUUAAGCACUCCGCCUGGGGAGUACGGUCGCAAGACUGAAACUCAAAGGAAUUGACGGGGGCCCGCACAAGCGGUGGAGCAUGUGGUUUAAUUCGAAGCAACGCGAAGAACCUUACCAGGUCUUGACAUCCUCUGACAACCCUAGAGAUAGGGCUUUCCCUUCGGGGACAGAGUGACAGGUGGUGCAUGGUUGUCGUCAGCUCGUGUCGUGAGAUGUUGGGUUAAGUCCCGCAACGAGCGCAACCCUUGAUCUUAGUUGCCAGCAUUCAGUUGGGCACUCUAAGGUGACUGCCGGUGACAAACCGGAGGAAGGUGGGGAUGACGUCAAAUCAUCAUGCCCCUUAUGACCUGGGCUACACACGUGCUACAAUGGACAGAACAAAGGGCUGCAAGACCGCAAGGUUUAGCCAAUCCCAUAAAUCUGUUCUCAGUUCGGAUCGCAGUCUGCAACUCGACUGCGUGAAGCUGGAAUCGCUAGUAAUC
rnacentral:rRNA from 1 species